rnacentral:rRNA from 1 species
UACAGAGGUCUCAAGCGUUGUUCGGAUUCAUUGGGCGUAAAGGGUGCGUAGGCGGCGCGGUAAGUCGGGUGUGAAAUCUCAGAGCUUAACUCCGAAACUGCAUUCGAUACUGCCGUGCUUGAGGACUGGAGAGGAGACUGGAAUUUACGGUGUAGCGGUGAAAUGCGUAGAUAUCGUAAGGAAGACCAGUGGCGAAGGCGGGUCUCUGGACAGUUCCUGACGCUGAUGCACGAAGGCCAGGGGAGCAAACGGG